GGGGGUUCCUGUGGGAUCUGCUGGAGGUUCCUGUGGGAUCUGCUGGGGGUUCCUGUGGGAUCUGCUGGAGGUUCCUGUGGGAUCUGCUGGAGGUUCUUGUGGGAUCUCCUGGAUGUUCUCACGGGACCUGCUGGGUGUUCCCGUGGGAUCUGCUGGGUGUUGUCAUGGGUUCUUCUGGAUGUUCCUCUGGGAUUUGGUGGAUGCUUCCCAUGGGAUCUGCUGGGUGUUCCUGUGGGAUCUCCUGGAUGUUUACGUGGAAUUUGGUGGGUUCCCAUGGGAUCUGCUGGAGGUUCCUGUGGGAUCUGUUGGUUGUUCCUGUGGGAUCUGGUAGGUGUUCCUGUGAGAUCUUCUGGAGCUUUCCAUGGAAUUUGCUGGAGGUUCCUGUGGCAUCUGCUGGAGGUUCCUGUGGGAUCUGCUGGAGGUUCCCGUGGGAUUUGGUGGAUGCUUCCCAUGGGAUCUUCGGGGUGCUCCCGUGAGAUCUUUUGGAUGUUCCUGUGGGAUGUUCUGGAAGUUUACGUGGAAUUUGGUGGAUUCCCAUGGGAUCUGCUGGAGGUUCCUGUGGGAUCUGCUGGAGGUUCCUGUAGGAUCUGGUAGGUGUUCCUGUGAGAACUUCUGGAGCUUUCCAUGGAAUUUGCUGGAGGUUCCCAUGGGGUCUGUUGGUUGUUCCUGUGAGAUCUUCUGGAGCUUUCCAUGGAAUUUGGUGGAUGCUUCCCAUGGGAUCUGCUGGGUGUUCCUGUGGGAUCUCCUGGAAGUUUACGUGGAAUUUGGUGGGUUCCCAUGGGAUCUGCUGGAGGUUCCUGUGGCAUCUGCUGGAGGUUCCCGUGGGAUCUGCUGGAGGUUCCCAUGGAAUUUGGUGGAUGCUUCCCAUGGGAUCUUCGGGAUGUUCCCAUGAGAUCAUCUGGAUGUUCGUGUGUGAUCUGGUGGGUGUUCCCAUGGGAUCUGUUGGAGGCUCCUCUGAGAUCUGCUGGAUGCUUCCCCUGGGAUCUGUUGGAUGUUCCUGUGAGAUCUUCUGGAGGUUUCCAUGGAAUUUGGUGGAUGCUUCCCGUGGGAUCUUCUGGAGGUUUCCAUGGAAUUUGGUGGAUGCUUCCCGUGGGAUCUUCUGGAGGUUCCCGUGGGAUCUGCUGGAUGUUCCUGUGGGAUCUCAGGACGUUCCCCUGGGAUCUGGUGGCCCUGGCUCCCUCCUGGACACUUCUCCUGUUGCUUUUCUCCUCUGAGCAGUCUUAACUGUCCCAGCUCUCCCCAUCGAGCAGCUCCCUGGAAUUCCCACCAACCCCCCCAGGUCCCUGUGGGAUCUCCUUGGGGUUCCCCGAGUUCCUUUUGGGGUUUCCUGGGAGAAUUUGGGGUUCCUGAGAACCUUUUGGGGUUACCUGAGAUCCUUUUGUGGUUUCCUGAGGGUCCUUUGGGGUUUCUCGAGAGCUUUUUUGGGAUCUCCUGAGAUCCCUUUGGGGUCCCUGAGAUCCUUUUGGGGUUUCCUGAGAGCUUUUUGGGGUUCCCUGAGAUCUUUUGGGGUUCCCUGAGAUCCUUUUGGGGUCUCCUGAGAACAUUUUGGGUUUCCUGAGAACUUUCUGGGGUCUCCUGAGAACUUUUUGUGGCUUCCUGAGAUCCUUUUGGGGUUUCCUGAGAACUUUUGGGGUUUCCUGAGAUCCUUUUGGGGUUUCCUGAGGGUCUUUUGGGGUUUCUUGAGAGCUUUUUUGGGAUCUCCUGAGAUCCCUUUGUGGUCCCUGAGAUCCUUUUGAGGUUCCCUGAGAGCUUUUUGGGGUUCCCUGAGAUCUUUUGGGGUCUCCUGAGAACAUUUUGGGGUUCCUGAGAGCUUUCUGGGGUCUCCUGAGAACUUUUUGGGGCUUCCUGAGAUCCUUUUGGGGUUUCCUGGGAACCUUUUGGGGUUUCCUGAGAUCCUUUUGGGUUUUCCACCUAAAUAUUCCCCUUAAAUUCAUCAUUUUUGGGAAUUUCAGAGCCCCCCCCCCCUUGAGAAAUUCACAUUUUUUUUCACCGCAAUUCAAUUUCAUUUAACCAUUUUUUUUUGGUGCUUCCACUUAAAUAUUCCCCUUAAAUUCCACAUUUUUGUGAGUUUCAGAACCCCCUUUAAUGAAUUCACAUUUCAGCCACAAUUCACGUCUAAUUUUACCAAAUUUUUUGGUUUUCCACUUAAAUAUUCCCCUUAAAUUCAGCAUUUUUAUGAAUUUCAGAGCCCCCCCUUGAGGAAUUCACUUUUCACCCACAAUUCACAUCUAAUUUAACCUUUUGUUUUUCUUUUUCCACUUAAAUAUUCCCCUUAAAUUCCACAUUUUUGUGAAUUUCAGAACCCCCUUUAAAGAAUUCACAUUUCAGCCACAAUUCAUGUCUAAUUUUACCAAUUUUUUUGUUUUUCCACUUAAAUAUUCCCCUUGAAUUCAGCAUUUUUAUGAAUUUCAGAGCCCCCCCUUGAGGAAUUAACUUUUCACCCACAAUUCACAUCUAAUUUAAAUAAUUUUUUUCGUUUUUCCACUGAAAAUUCCCCUUAAAUUCCACAUUUUUUGAAUUUCAGAGGCCCCCCCCCUUGAGGAAUUAACUUUUCAGCCAAAAUUCAAUCUAAUUUAACCUUUUGUUUUUAUUUUUCCACUUAAAUAUUCCCCUUAAAUUCCACAUUUUUGUGAGUUUCAGAACCCCCUUUAAUGAAUUCACUUUUCAGCCACAAUUCACAUCUAAUUUUACCAAAUUUUUUGGUUUUCCACUUAAAUAUUCCCCUUAAAUUCAGCAUUUUUAUGAAUUUCAGAGCCCCCCUUGAGGAAUUCACUUUUCACCCACAAUUCACAUCUAAUUUAAAUAAUUUUUUUCGUUUUUCCACUUAAAAUUCCCCUUAAAUUCCACAUUUUUAUGAAUUUCAGAGCCCCCCCUUGAGGAAUUCACUUUUCAGCCAAAAUUCAAUCUAAUUUAACCUUUUGUUUUUAUUUUUCCACUUAAAUAUUCCCCUUAAAUUCCACAUUUUUAUGAAUUUCAGAGCCCCCCUUGAAUUCACCAUUUUCAGCCAAAAUUCAAUCUAAUUUAAACAUUCUUUUCAUUUUUCCACUUGGAUAUUUCCCUUAAAUACAGAAUUUUUGUGAAUUUCAGAGCCCCCCCCUUGAGAAAUUCACUUUUCAGCCACAAUUCACAUCUAAUUUUACCUUUUUUUAAAAUGUUUUUCCCCUUAAAUAUUCCCCUUAAAUUCAGCGUUUUUUCAGGAAAAA